CACAUACAGACACACAUCCUGACACACAGAUGCACACACUGACACACAUGCAGAUACACACAUUUGAUACUUACAGAUACAUGCACAGGUAUACACACUGGCACACACACAGAUACAUACAUAUUACAACAUACAGAUACACACAUUGGCUACAUACAGAUACAUGCACAGACAUAAACAUUGGCACACACACAGAUACUGACACAUACAC